UACGGAGGGUGCAAGCGUUACUCGGAAUCACUGGGCGUAAAGCGCGCGCAGGCGGCUAGAUAAGUUGGAAGUGAAAUCCUAUGGCUCAACCAUAGAACUGCUUCCAAAACUGUUUAGCUAGAGUCUGGGAGGGGAAGAUGGAAUUAGUAGUGUAGGGGUAAAAUCCGUAGAGAUUACUAGGAAUACCAAAAGCGAAGGCGAUCUUCUGGAACAGUACUGACGCUGAGGCGCGAAAGCGUGGGGAGCAAACAGGAUUAGAUACCCUGGUAGUCCACGCCCUAAACGAUGAAUGUUAGUCGUCGGGACUCUAGUAGUUUCGGUGAUGCAGUUAACACAUUAAACAUUCCGCCUGGGGAGUACGGUCGCAAGAUUAAAACUCAAAGGAAUAGACGGGGACCCGCACAAGUGGUGGAGCAAAUCUAUAAACCUAAUCUCAGUUCGGAUUGUAGUCUGCAACUCGACUACAUGAAGCUGGAAUCACUAGUAAUCGUAGAUCAGCUAUGCUACGGUGAAUACGU
rnacentral:rRNA from 1 species